UACGUAGGGUGCAGGCGUUUAAUCGGAAUUACUGGGCGUAAAGCGUGCGCAGGCGGUUUGCUAAGACAGGUGUGAAAUCCCCGGGCUUAACCUGGGAACUGCGCUUGUAACUGGCAAGCUAGAGUGUGGCAGAGGGGGGGUGGAAUUCCACGUGUAGCAGUGAAAUGCGUAGAGAUGUGGAGGAACACCGAUGGCGAAGGCAGUCCCCUGGGCCUGUACUGACGCUCAUGCACGAAAGCGUGGGGAGCAAACAGG
rnacentral:rRNA from 1 species